rnacentral:rRNA from 1 species
AUUGAACGCUGGCGGCAUGCCUUACACAUGCAAAUCGAACGGUAACGGGCCUUCGGGUGCCGACGAGUGGCGAACGGGUGAGUAAUACAUCGGAACGUGCCCGAUCGUGUGGGAUAACGAGGCGAAAGCUUUGCUAAUACCGCAUACGAUCUACGGAUGAAAGCAGGGGACCGCAAGGCCUUGCGCGGACGGAGCGGCCGAUGGCAGAUUAGGUAGUUGGUGGGAUAAAAGCUUACCAAGCCGACGAUCUGUAGCUGGUCUGAGAGGAUGAUCAGCCACACUGGGACUGAGACACGGCCCAGACUCCUACGGGAGGCAGCAGUGGGGAAUUUUGGACAAUGGGCGCAAGCCUGAUCCAGCCAUGCCGCGUGCAGGAUGAAGGCCUUCGGGUUGUAAACUGAUUUUGUACGGAACGAAAAGCCUUCUUUUAAUACAGGAGGGUCAUGACGGUACCGUAAGAAUAAGCACCGGCUAACUACGUG